GGCCAGUGGUGCAAACAGCCACAUUUGAGUGUCAGAAAACCUUGCAGUCUGCCUAAAGCAUGAUCUCUGUAGUGCUGACA
ensembl:snoRNA